GCCGAAAUUACAAGGCAAGAGAAGAAACUCUGUACACAAACAUGCCGAGACUCUUGCUGAGUUUUACUGCCACACAUACCAGGUGCAAACUGAGGCCUGUCUCUACUUGCCUAGAGAGAGAGGACACAGGCAGAGAGAGGGUGAUGUAUAAGAUACGAUUGGCCAGGAAAAACCUUUCGGGGACCAAGAUCACCUUGCAGGAAGCCCCAGAUUUCAGAUCCCUGCGAAAAGUCACAUUGCGAGAAGUUCCUUUCCAAAGACGACAUCCAGGCAGCGCACGACACACCACCCAGGAGGACAGUCGGGUCAGAGCGCAGGAUCACACUGCGGCGCGGGACACCGAACUCACCUGGUCUCUUUAACAAGUCCUCCAAGACUCUGAUGACCAGAUUUGUUACGGAGAAACGGAGGAUGUCAGAAACGGGGGCUGGCAGCCUGUUUGCCUGCAUUAUUCUGCUGUGUGCCUCCAGCAUUGCCCAGACUGCUGAAACCCUGAUGAAACUGGAAGUUCGGGAACUGCUUACAGUGCCAUGUAACCAGGAUAUAGACCUGGAUUGUAACAUCAUCUCAUUCAGAGAGCCUGUUGUCAACAGCAUGAGCUGGCAGCAUCAUGUUGCAAAGCCACGGUGCAUAGUGAAUGACACGAAGCCCGCAGACGGACCCCAGUGCACCUACACGAAGGGCAAGCAACUGGUGCUCCACCUGCAUAGCGUGACUCCAGCCAUGGAGGGCGAGUACACCUGCAAGAUACUGUCCAACCAAGGUAUAAAGUCUGCCACUUCUAUCAUCAAGCUAGAAGAAUGCUACAGCCAGGGGUCAUGGUCAUCAUCUGGCACAGAGCUGACCUGCUGGUUCCCUGGCGUCUACCCUGAAGGGACUAUUCACUGGUUUUCUGAAGGCAGAAAUGUAACGGAGGAUGCAGUGAUGGCAAUCAGCCGGGUGGACAGGAAGGGCCUAUUCAAUGUGUCCAGCACACUUCAUGACGCUCGGUCAGGGGGGCUUUACACAUGCACCCUGUGGAUCCCCAGCACGGGGAGAACCCUGGGAGAGGUCCACAUGGAAAAGAUCCAGGCAGCUGAGAUCUCCUGGAACACACAACUGGCCAGUGGUGGAGGUGUUGGUCUUGGCCAGCAGUUGCCGAGCAUCCUACUGCUGGUCAGCAUCCUGAUGGUGUAAGAGGUGUGAUGAACAAGGCCGUGUCACCUGGCACAGGUUUCAGACUACACCGCCAAAACAUAUCAGAACCGACCCUGCUCUCAUCACUUGACAGCAUUUGUCCCUUUAAUCCACUUAAUUCUUGCGCUGAAUUCAACUGACUGUAUUCCUACAGCUUAACCCUACACUACUGUAUAUUUUUCAGUAUAUAAAAAUAUUUGGACCUUUAUCGUUUUCUUGUCUUUCAUUGAAAUACCUCCAUCACCCCUCUGCAUGCAUUUACACAGCAGCAGGUAUUGAACAAAAACCUGCCAUUUCAUGCUGGUGCUCUUGGACGCAGGACAGGCCAACAGGCCUGCAAGCUGUGCAGUUCACUAAAACGGGGGAACGCAGCCAAGAGCAGAAAAUACAGUUGACACACUGCACCUUUCAUCCUGUCCUCUUAUCCCAG
ensembl:lncRNA